rnacentral:rRNA from 1 species
GACGAACGCUGGCGGCGUGCUUAACACAUGCCAGUCGAACGGAAAGGCCCUGCUUUUGUGGGACGCCCGAGUGGCGAACGGGUGAGGAACACGUGAGUAACCUGCCCUUGACUUUGGGAUAACUUCAGGAAACUGGGGCUAAUACCGGAUAGGAGCUCCUGCUGCAUGGUGGGGGUUGGAAAGUUUCGGCGGUUGGGGAUGGACUCGCGGCUUAUCAGCUUGUUGGUGGGGUAGUGGCUUACCAAGGCUUUGACGGGUAGCCGGCCUGAGAGGGUGACCGGCCACAUUGGGACUGAGAUACGGCCCAGACUCCUACGGGAGGCAGCAGUGGGGAAUAUUGCACAAUGGGCGGAAGCCUGAUGCAGCAACGCCGCGUGCGGGAUGACGGCCUUCGGGUUGUAAACCGCUUUCGCCUGUGACGAAGCGUGAUUGACGGUAAUGGGUAAAGAAGCACCGGCUAACUCCGUG